ACUCAACGUUAUUCAAUUAUAAAGGAUGAGUCGUGAUUAGUAAAGCAAGCCGAUUUUACCUCGGAUCCUUGAUCAAUCAGUUAAUCCUAAACUUGUUAUUUUGGAGUUU
rfam:Tenacibaculum mesophilum strain DSM 13764 genome assembly, contig: Ga0131220_102